UGCAUGGUGUAUGACCUGGGCCUCAUGUGU
rnacentral:piRNA from 1 species